CGUAGGUUCGGGUCGAACGCAGUGAGACAACGGAGCCGUUUACGGCGACGGCCCGAAGGGCGAGCGAAGCGAGUCAUCCUGCACGACCCACCA
rnacentral:sRNA from 4 species